rnacentral:tRNA from 2 species
CAUUCGGUAGCUUAAUUGGUCAAAGCGCUCGUCUAGCAUACAAGAGUCGAGGGUACAAAUCCCACAUGAAUAC